UACAGAGGUGGCAAGCGUUGUUCGGAAUUACUGGGCGUCAAGGGCGCGUAGGCGGGUCAUCAAGUCCGGGGUGAAAUCCCACGGCCCAACCGUGGAAGUGCCUUGGAUACUGGAGACCUCGAGGGGGAUAGGGGCGUGCGGAACUCAGGGUGGAGCGGUGAAAUGCGUAGAUAUCCUGAGGAACACCGGUGGCGAAAGCGGCGCGCUGGAUCCCUUCUGACGCUGAGGCGCGAAAGCCAGGGGAGCAAACGGG
rnacentral:rRNA from 1 species